UGUUGUGUUUUUUGUCUGUGGUUAUUGGAACGUGUUUUGUGUGCUGCAUAAGUGGAAACUUCAAAGGGAGUGAUGUAUUUGAUGUUGCCUAUAUUACGGAUAAACUGCUGAAUUUUAUCAAUUAUUUAUUACGUUUUUGCGCCUUUGUUUUACAUAUUUAUGUUGAUUUCACUGUUGUUACAUCUCCCGAAUUUGGGUAUGAUUUCUUCGUAAAAUACAAGAUGAUAAACGUAAGAGCAAUGACUCCAAUUACCACAAGCAAGCAAAGGAGGCAUUUUACAAGACUGAAAAAACCGCGCGAUUAGUUUUUGAAAUUAGUCAAACGUAAAACACUUACCUGUUAAUAAGACAACACAUUUUGUGUGUUUGGUGUGAAAAAAGUUAAAGCUUGACAGGAAAGUGUCAAUAAAUAAAAAUGUAUGUGCCUGACGUUAGAGACAAAUAUGGAAAAUUGGAAUUUCUCAACGAUCGGAAAUGCACCAUAAUUUCCACCUUUGUUAUAGUGUUUUUCCUGAUAAUUCUCGUUGUGGGGAUCAGCAUUUGUCAUUGAAACAGCAGUUGCAAAAGUAAUAGAAUAUAUUUCUCGUAAUAAAUGAACGAAAUUUA